AUAUAUAUAUACACAUAAAUAAAUAAAAAAUAUAUUUGCCUGUCAAAGAGGCAUCCACAGUGGCAGAUUUUUAUUAUGGUUUUGUUGCUUUCCCAAUAUCCAAAUGGCAGCUCCUGCACUUCUGUUCAACUUUGUCUUACAGAUGUGAGAAAGAUGUCCAAUUUAAGCAGAUGGAUGUCUCAUGCUGAGAUAGCAAGGCAUAAAAGCCUGCAAGCAUUUGCAUAAUCCUUGGACUAAGCCUUAAGACAGCACUGGUGAAAGCAGGACGAGAUUGUGAGGUAUGAAGGAAUAUGUACAGUUUGCAAUGCGAAGUUUAGUUUUUAUCAACUAUCCAUUAUAAUCCAACGCAAGGUAUUAGUUUCUAACUUUGGACUGAGAUUUACUGAUUCUUCUUCUUAUGUGACAGUACUGUUGUUGUUCCUUGAUAUCCUCACUGUACUGAUCAUUUUGGAAUAGCAGCAAACUUCUCUCAGAGGACUUGAUAUUGGAUUUGGGAUGAAAGAUACUACUCCGUUUGUGAAACCUUGACUUCCCCUUCCUCCUAAUUGGAUUUGUUUGAAAUUGCGUACUGUGAUGUUUUGUUUAGGUUAACCCCCCCUCUUUUCUGAUUUCAUAUAGCCUACUUUUUCUAAUCAUGAAUGUAUGAUGUGUGGAUUUUUAUAUAGCAUACUAAUUUAGGUGUCAAACAGAAUCUGUAAUUUUGUCAAAAAGAUCAGCUAUAUUUGUAAGCUGUAAGAUGUAAAAUGAGAAAAUAUAGUUAUCAAAACAGAAUGUGUUGGUUUACUAUAGAGUGUGUGUGUGUGUGUGUGUGUGUAUAUAAUAUAUAUAUACACACACACACACACUACACUGAAAAAGAGAGAUUAUCUCAAGCUGUUUGCCAAAUAAAAAGUAGUAGUGAUGUAAAUAAGUGUGUGCUUGUGCUCACUGCGAAUUGGUGAUCAGAUUGUCGUAAUGUUUGAUAUUUAUAUUAGUGCCCUUUAGACAAAGGUUCCUUCUAAUGUUAUUGACCACCUUGACCAUUUAUCUACGGCCACUACCAGGACAAAACGUUCCCCUCAGCAGCCUUGUUCAUUUAGAGGAUAUUACAAAAGGUCAAGACAUUAUGUGCCACAUGGUUACAUAAAGAAUGCAGUGUAUUUUCAGUAUGCUAAUCUGCUGUGGAAGUAAGGAGGUAAUCAACUCAAAAUAACUUCUGGGUAGUGCAAGUAAUGCAGCUGUAGGACCGUGUGUGAAAUACAGCUCCAUACUGCAAACAUGCAUGUAUUUCUACUUAUGGUUCUCAUUUUUUGUCACAAUCUUUUGUUUUAAUAAAAAUAAAAACCCACUCCUACAUAUAUAAAUUACAGAGAGAGAUUUUUAUGUAUGUUAACACGUUUCCAAAAAUAUUAAGUUAGCUGUUAUUUCACCUAUAAAUUUCCUGCUCUGUUGGGAAUUAAUAGCCAUUGUUGAUGCUUGAAGUAUCAGCCUUCCAUUGAAACAAACCUCAGUGUAAACGCUAUUAUCAAUGUUACUGACAUUCAUCCUCACAUGGGGAUAAAACCCUUCAACCGCUCUUUAACCAGUAGAUGUAUUUACAGCGCCGCUUUCAGGACAGUUUUUAUAUUCCCAACUUCACCGAAAAGGGAUCCUGUGUGCAUUGGUACCAUAAUUACUGAAUGAGUAAUUACGUGUUUUUAAUAAAUAUCUGUAUAUCUCGAACUGAUGUAUAGGCAGAAAAAAAUAUAAUUUUUUAGAGUAUAACAUCGUCUCUGUGUUGUCGCUGCUGGACUGCACCUGCGCAGAUGACCGCAGAUCUCCAAGUCAUAAGAAACCUGGCAGCGCAGUUGAUCAGCUCUGUGGGGUUAUUAGAGGCACGCGGACAGAGUCGCGUUAAAUAAGUUAAGUCCCUCUGCCGCUCUGGGCUGCAUGGUGCGGAGCUCUGACUGUAUAAAAGAUAGACGACACGACAGCACUUUCUCCCAUGGUGCAAAAAUGAAGCCAAAAUAUCCCCCUUGUGGGAGCUGCCAUAUUGCGCUUUUGGAGCCGAAGCCUGCGCAGGAGUGACUUGAGGUGGAGCGACUGCGUCACUUUCCCACCCACACGCCCGCUGGAUGUGACCGCGAACACGCCCCCCUUACACUAGUUACGUAGCCUGGCUGCUCCAUCAUUAAUCUGAUUUUACUCCUCGCCAAAUCCCACAUCCAUAAAUAGUCCACAUAAUUAUUACCAGCUACACCCACCAUGGGAGAAACUGGUGAGGGAGACCAUCAGGACCAAGCUGGAUUUCCUGGGUCCAGAGGUUUGUAGAAAUCCAGAUGUUCUGUUGACCCACUGAGAGAGGCAUCAUUUCAGAAACAUCAGAAAAACUGAAGUUCAUCGCAGGGAUCAAGGAGGACCUCAUGAUCUUCACCACCAGCUCCCUUACAGGGAAAUCUUCAGAACCCCACUGUAGGCCCACUCCAGAAGAGACUUCUGGUUUGUCUAAUGUUAUAAAUACUUGGAUAAUCCUCAGCAGCUCUGGACUUUUACAUAAAGAUAUUAUAUUAAAAAAUAUAUUAUCCUCUCUGCUCACUGGUAUGAAUGACUGAAUUACUUUGUAGUAAAUAACACACUAUUGGGAAGAAAAAAAAAAACUGAAAGAAUUCCAGAUCACCAGUUUUUAGUUAACCUUCAUCAGGUUUUAUUUAAGUGUGUCAGGGAAAAUCUCAUGUGCUCUUCAUGUGGCUGAGUGCAUUCAGUGUUUAAAACAGAACCUCUACAGGUCUCAGAUAGCAGCUUUCUGAAACACAAGACUGCUGAUAUAUAGUGACAGUGACAGGGGUGAUUAAUCCUUUUGACUUUAUCAAUAAAACAGCUGCAGCUUUCAUCAGUUAAUUUUGGAGUUAACGUGAACAUGUUGAAUGAUCUGUCUGCUUUCACUGGGUGGUGCUGAGGUCUGAA